AGAGAUAAUUUUUCACUUCAAACUUUACAGGUUCUGCUAACUGAUUGAAAAUUGCCUAUGUGUAAGCAGAAAUGAACAAGGUUGUGCUGGAAAUUCUCCCUUUCUCCAAAGCAAAUGUGCAAGACAUUUUAUAAAGAUUGUCGGUUGUCUCAUCCACAGAUGAUUGUAUCCAUCUUGGAGGCCAG